rnacentral:rRNA from 1 species
GUUACUCGGCUACUUGCCUUGUCUGGUUUCGCUUUUGGGGUUUUCCCCUUUUUACUUUGAGAAAAUUAGAGUGUUUCAAGCAGACUUGUGUCUUGAAUACUUCAGCAUGGAAUAAUGAAAGUAGGACUU